GGAGGACUACUUUUCCUAGGAUUCGAACUGGUGACCAAGGAGGGGAGGGGGAGGGACCUCUCCACUAAGGUAUACCCCUCGGUUAUAUGUUUGGUUUUUAUUAAGCCAUCGAACACACGUUACUGUGUUCGAAAUCCCAGCACCAAAUAUAUGCAUCACGAAAAUAGCUUCCACAAUCCUUUAAAAUGGCAAUUACGCCCUCCGUUUUUUGUAAACUUUCUCUUGUUUGUUUGGUGUAAGUGAUAAAUGAAGUUAUUCCUUUUGAUUUAAAACAAAAAAAAAAGAAAAAAAAAAAAAGAAGUUGUUGGCUAGGUGCUUGUCGGGCAUGGAAAGUGUUAUGAUAUUUAUUGCAAGCGCACAAUUCGCACAAGUAAUAUAGUGAUGAGUGAAGUGUCGUUCCCACGAAGAGUGAUUUAAUUUACCAAGUACCGAUUGUGAUUAACCCAAGACUUUAUUUGAACAAUUGAUGAUGAGAUUUGAUUGAUUAAUUAACUAAAACAAUGAAUAAAAACAAGCGUAGAAAAAUAAAGUAGUGAGAUUCAAGUUAUGAGAGCACUAGAGCUUCCGAUUUCAC
rnacentral:lncRNA from 1 species